rnacentral:lncRNA from 1 species
GCCGGGGCAGCGCUUUCCUGAAGGGCAGCGGGGCUGCAAUCCAGAAGGGAGAUGGGAAGGGGGCCGCUCCAGGACCCACGAAACUACAACUCCCAGAGGACCGAAGCGCCUUAAAGACAGAGGCCCGUUUUCUGGGACUCCGGGAUCCAGGUUAAUAGGUUAAUGUGUAGCUUUUUUGUUUGUUUUCUCGUUUGGGUUUUUUUUUUUUUUUUUUUUUAACACCUUCUGGACGGCACCAGGAGCUUCCGCUUUCCUCUGGAGAAAAAUCCACUGAUGGAGGAAAAAAAAAAAUCACGCUUUGCCCAAGCGGAAGCAGCUGCCAUUCGAUUUGCAGUUGGAAAGGCCAGGCACGGUGGCUCGCACCUGUAGUCCCAGCCCUUUGGUGAGGCCGAGGCGGGUGGAUCAUGAGGUCGGGAGUUGAAGACCAGCCUGGCCAAUAUGGUGAAACCCCGUCUACUAAAAAUACAAAAAUUAGCUGAGCGUGGUGGCGCGCACCUGUAGUCCCAGCAGCUUGGGAGGCUGAGGAAGGAGAAUCGCUUGAACCCGGGAGGCAGAGGUUGCAGUGAGCUGAGAUUGCACCACUGCACUCCAGCCUGGGCAACACAGUGAGGCCCUGUCUAAAAAAAAAAAAAAAAUUCCUCUUUCCCCAAUAUCUGACCUUUCCCCUUUAAAUAUUGAAGCCCUCAAAAUCAUCUUUGGAGAAAGGUACAGACCUGUCUCCCAGGUGCACACAUUCUUAACUUUGGCAAAAUAAACUUGUA